rnacentral:rRNA from 1 species
AAUGAACGCUGGCGGCAGGCCUAACACAUGCAAGUCGAACGGAUCCUUCGGGAUUAGUGGCGGACGGGUGAGUAACGCGUGGGAACAUACCCUUUGGUACGGAAUAGCCUCGGGAAACUGGGAGUAAUACCGUAUGUGCUCUUCGGAGGAAAGAUUUAUCGCCAAAGGAUUGGCCCGCGUUGGAUUAGGUAGUUGGUGGGGUAAUGGCCUACCAAGCCGACGAUCCAUAGCUGGUUUGAGAGGAUGAUCAGCCACACUGGGACUGAGACACGGCCCAGACUCCUACGGGAGGCAGCAGUGGGGAAUCUUAGACAAUGGGGGAAACCCUGAUCUAGCCAUGCCGCGUGAUCGAUGAAGGCCUUAGGGUUGUAAAGAUCUUUCAGUGGGGAAGAUAAUGACGGUACCCACAGAAGAAGCCCCGGCUAAACUCCGUGCCAGCAGCCGCGGUAAU